AUGCUGGGCUGGCAGCUGAGCGUCUGGCUGCGGCUGGCCAGCAUGGAUUCUGGGGCACACAGAAGGUGCUGGACGUUGCUGCGUGCGGGCUCUCUCCGGUGGAGGCCAGAAGGAGAACAGGGGCUCCCUCAGCGGUGCCAGGGCCUCUCACGGAUGUUUUCCAGUCACUUUGGGAUCCCUGCAGGGGACGAAGGUUCCUCACGUCUUAGUCCUUAA
rnacentral:lncRNA from 1 species